AUUUAAACCAAAUUGAACAUGUUUCAUUAUUUAUUUGAGGCUAAAUUGAUUUUAUUGAUGUAUUAUAUUAAGUUAAAAUAAGUGUUCAUUCAGUAUUGUUGUAAUUAUCAUUAUUAUAAAUAAAUAAACAAACAACAACAAAACAACAAAAAAUUGGCCGAUUUAAUCGGCAUCGGCUUUUUUGGCCCUCCAAUAAUCGGUAUCGGCGUUUAAAGAUCAGAAUCGGUUGACCUCUAGUCCUGGGAGUGCAUUCCGACGAAGAUCAGCAAAGGUAAGUGAAGAUUUAUAAUACUAUUUCUGAGUUUAGUUGACUCCAGAACUUGGCGGGUAACUGUAUAGCUUGCUUUGAUGGCUGAGCUCUGUACUCAGAAUAUUGAACAAUGUGCUUUCGCCGUAAAGCUAUUUUGAAAUCUGAUACAGCGGUUGCUUUAAGGAGAAGUGUAUCUAUAAUUCUUUCAAUAACUGUUGUAAAUUUUAUCAACGUUUAUGAUGAGUAUUUUUGUAAAUUGAUGUGCUCAUUCACCGUUAGUUUUGGAGGCAAUAGAUUUUCUGAACAUCACGCGCCAAUGUAAAAUGGGGUUUAUGGAUAUAAAUAAUAACUUUAUCGAACAAAACAUACAUGUAUUGUGUAACAUUGAGUCCUGGGAGUGUCAUCUGAUGAAGAUCAUCAAAGGUUAGUGAUUCAUUUUAGCUGUAUUUCUGGUUUUUGUGACGCCUCUCCUUGCUUGGAAAAUGGCUGUGUGGUUUUUCUUGUUUAGGCGCUGUCCUAACAUAAUCUAAUGUUAUGCUUUCGCCGUAAAGCCUUUUUGAAAUCGGACACUGUGGUUGGAUUAAGGAGAAUCUUAUCUUUAAAAUGGUGUAUAAUACUUGUAUGUUUGAGAAAUUUGAAUUAUGAGAUUUUUGUUGUUUUGAAUUUGCCGUCCUGCUAUUUCACUGGCUGUUGAUAGUGUGUAACGCUAGCGUCCCACAUGUCGCAGAGAGGUUAAUCAGAGAAUCUGGUAUAAAAUGAACCACGAGAUCGACCUGUGACACAGAAUGAUACACCCCAAUAAUUAAAUAAACCUGUGAUUCUGUGACCAGAAUCAGUAAGAUCUUUCCAAAAUGUGUAUCCGUAAUCAUUUUCUCAAGGCCUUUAGUGUGUUUUUACUUUGUAUACAAUUUUAGACACCUCUGCAGUGCUUUGCUUUGUGAACCCUUUGACUGUACAGCUCCCUGAAUGGCAUUGUUAUAUAAUUGCUCCUCAAAUUAAUUCACGACACCAACAACUUCAAUGCUAUGUGGAAACAUUUGGCCACUGAUUGGUGUAACUGGUGGCUCUCAGACAUGUUUUCUGGCACACUCCUUGAAGUAGGAGUGCUUGCUCUCAAGCCUCGGUGUCCACAAACGAAUGAGUCGCCCAAAUUGCAGGAUGAGGUCGGGGAAGUUUAACAAGUAGUGAUUCUUUGGUGCAAGGGCGCUACCCCACAAGCAAAACUGAAGACAUGAGUCUUCAAUAUUCCCAGGUAAGAAGUUUUAGGUUGUAGUUAUUAUAGGAAUUAUAGGACUUUCUCUCUAUACGAUUUGUAUUUCAUAUACCUUUGACUAUUGGAUGUUCUUAUAGGCACUUUAGUAUUGCCAGUGUAACAGUAUAGCUUCCGUCCCUGUCCUCGCCCCUAACUGGGCUCGAACCAGGAACACAUCGACAACAGCCACCCUCGAAGCAGCGUUACCCAUGAAGAGGAAGGGAAACAACUACUCCAAGUCUCAGAGUGAGUGACGUUUGAAACGCUAUUAGCGCGCACCCCGCUAACUAGCUAGCCAUUUCACAUCGGUUACACCAGCCUAAUCUUGGGAGUUGACAGGCUUGAAGGGGUGGGUAUAAUUUCUGGAACGUUCCAACAGGAAUCUGUUCCAAAAAACGUAAAUUAAAAGGUUGCCAACCAACAACGCAUACAAACCUAGCUAACUAGCUGCCGAAUAGGCAUCAACUCACCACGUAGCUUAUUCUUAAUGUUUGUCUAUAGGCAACCAGAGUGAGGACAGACAUUUUUCGGAAUAAACGUGAUGAGUGAAAAACGCAAUGAAAUAGACCACUCACUACCCGGUAUCUUAUUCUGCUGCUAUACAACUUUGUAUGCAUUGUUUUUUGGCAACCUUGUUAUUUCCGAAGUUUUUGGAAUAGAUUCCUGUUGGAACGUUCCACAAAUUAUACCCACCCGGUUUGAAGUCAUAAACAGCUUGAAACACAGCGAACAGCUGCUGGCAAAACGCACGAAAGUGCUGUCUGAAUGAAUGCUUACGAGUUAUGUUAUGUCAAUGUUAUGUCAUAAUUAUGUACAAUUCUGGCAAAUUAGUUCGCAACGAGCCAGGUGGCCCAAACUACAGCAUAUACCCAGACACUGCGUGCAAAGAACGCUAUAGAUGUGACACAAUUUCAUGUUAGCAGGCAAUAUUAACUAAAUAUGCAGGUUUAAAAAUAUAUACUUGUUUAUUGAUUUUAAAGAAAGGCAUUGAUGUUUAUGGUUAGAUACAUUGGUGCAACGACAAUGCAAACACCCGUUUGGCGAAAUAGGCUAUGAUUCAAUGAUAAAUGAACAGGCACCGCAUCGAUUAUAUGCAACGCAGGACACGUUAGAUAAACUAGUAAUAUCAUCAACCAUGUGUAGUUAACUAGUGAUUAUGUUAAGAUUGAUAGUUUUUUAUAAGAUAAGUUUAAUGCUAGUUAGCAACUUACCUUGGCUUCUUGCUGCCCUCGCGUAACAGGUAGUUAGCCUGCCACGCAGGCUCCUCGUGCGUUGGAUUGGAUUAGUAACCGGAAGGUUGCAAGAUCGAAUCCCCCCUGAACAAGGCAGUUAACCCCCGUUCCUAGGCCAUCAUUGAAAAUAAGAAUGUGUUCUUAAUCUGACUUGCCUAGUUAAAUAAAGGUGCAAAAAAAACUAAAAAAAAGUUUUAAAAAACCCAAACAUUAUCGGCAAAUCGGUGGCCAAAAAUACAGAUUACCGAUUGUUAUGAAAACUUGAAAUCGGCCAUUCCGAUUAAUCGGUCGACCUCUACCCAGGACUCCCACUUCCACAAGAAAUGUCAGUUUUGUUCGAUAAACUCCAUAUUUAUGUCCAAAUACCUCCGUUUUGUUCACGUGUUCAGAUCACUAAUCCAAAGGCAUAAUGCGUGAGCGCAAAACCCGAGAUGAAAAGUCAAAUAGUUCCAUUACCGUUCGUAGAAACAUGUCAAUCGAUGUUUACAAUCAAUCCUUAGGGUCUUUUUAACAUAAAUCUUAGAUAAUAUUCCAACUGGACAAUAGCGUAUUCAUUACAGAGGAAAAAGGAGCGGCGCACCUGCGUGCAUGCGCAGUAAAAAACUCACUGGUCCCAGGCUUGAGACAGCUCUUAUUCUCUGCCCAGUAACAGUAGAAGCAUGAAACAAGGUUCUACAGACUGUUGACAUCUACUGGAAGCCUUAGGAAGUGUAAAAUGAACCCACAGACACUGUAGUUUGGAAAGACAAUCAGUUGAAAAACUACAAACCACUUCCUGGUUGGAUUUUUUUCUCAGGUUUUUGCCUGCCAUAUGAGUUCUGUUAUACUCACAGACAUCAUUCAAACAGUUUUAGAAACUUCAGAGUGUUUUCUAUCCAAAUCUACUAAUAAUAUGCAUAUCGUACCUUCUGGGCCCGAGUAGCAGGCAGUUUAAUUUGGGCACGUUAUUCAUCAAUUUCCGAAUACUGCCCCGUCACCAAGAAGUUAAUUAUGUGUGUGUUAAUGAAGAUAGUCUGAGUAAUUAUUACCCACUACCAGUUUAUGAAGUGUCAGGUUGCUUUGUUGUGUCCCUGCAUCACUCAGUGUGUUCUCCUUUAACCUGUUAUGGCUAGGGGGCAGUAUUUUCACGGCUGGAUAAAAAACGUACCCGAUUUAAUCUGGUUACCACUCCUACCCAGUAACUAGAAUAUGCAUAUACUUAUUACAUAUGGAUAGAAAACACCCUAAAGUUUCUAAAACUUUUGAAUGGUGUCUGUGUAUAACAUAACUCAUUUGGCAGGCAAAAACCUGACAAGGUUUCAGGCAGGAAGUGGCCUGUCUGACAAGGUGUCGUUCUUCUUGUCUCUGUUUAUUGAAGAGUGAGGAUCUUAGCUGUCCCGUGACACUUCCUACGGCUGCCAUAGGGUCUCAGAAGGCGGUAAAAAGCUGAAUCGUGGCUUUGCAGGCUCUGGCUGAAAAAAAGUAGCGCGUUUGGGUAGUGGCUGGUUACAGUACUGUGAGACUCAGGCUCGUGCCCGCGUCGACCGAAAGCUUUGUUUACUUUCCUCUGUUUAGCUAAAAGGAGAUUCCCGGUCGGAAUCUUAUCGCUUUUUUUACGAGAAAAAUGGCAUAAAAAUGGAUUUUAAACAGCGGUUGACAUGCUUCGAAGUACGGUAAUGGAAUAUUUAGAUUUUUUUUGUCACGAAUUGCACCAUGCGCGCGACCCUGAUUUACCAUUUCAGAUAGUGUCUGGAACGCACGAACAAAACGCCGCUAUUCGGAUAUAACGAUGGAUUAUUUUGGACCAAACCAACAUUUGUUAUUGAAGUAGCAGUCCUGGGAGUGCAUUCUGACGAAGACAACAAAAGGUAAUCAAACUUUUAUAAUAGUAAACCUGAUAUUGGUGAGUGCUAAACUUGCCGGGUGUCUAAAUAGCUAGCCCGUGAUGCCUGGGCUAUGUACUUAGAAUAUUGCAAAAUGUGCUUUCACCAAAAAGCUAUUUUAAAAUUGGACAUAUCGAGUGCAUAGAGGAGUUCUGUAUCUAUAAUUCUUAAAAUAAUUGUUAUGCUUUUUGUGAACGUUUAUCGUGAGUAAUUUAGUAAAUUCUUAGUGAAUUUGCCGGAAGUUUGCGGGGGGUAUGCUAGUUCUGAACGUCACAUGCUAAUGUAAAAAGCUGGUUUUUGAUAUAAAUAUGAACUUGAUUGAACAAAACAUGCAUGUAUUGUAUAACAUAAUGUCCUAGGGUUGUCAUCUGAUGAAGAUCAUCAAAGGUUAGUGCUGCAUUUAGCUGUCUUCUGGGUUUUUGUGACAUUAUAUGCUAGCUUGAAAAAUGGGUGUCUGAUUAUUUCUGGCUUGGUACUCUGCUGACAUAAUCUAAUGUUUUGCUUUCAUUGUAAAGCCUUUUUGAAAUCGGACAGUGUGGUUAGAUAAAGGAGAGUCUUAUCUUUAAAAUGCUGUGAAAUAGUGAUAUGUUUGAAAAAUUGAAGUUUUUGUAUUUUUGAGGAAUUUGUAAUUCGCGCCACGCCUAUCAUUGGAUAUUGGAGCAGGUGUUCCGCUAGCGGAACGUCUAGAUGUAAGAGGUUAACCAGUGUAGGCAUGGAGGGUCUUCAAGAUGCAAUUAAACACCAAUUGUCCGAGUUGGAGACCGAGAUGGUGAGAUCUUUGUCAGAUCAUCUGAGGGCAAAUGUUGGAGUGGAGAAUAUUAACGACCUUGAAUAUGUUCAGCUGGAGGACAUGAAAUACCAUUUGACGCCAAUACAGUGCCGGGAAUUGCUUCAGUCCUUCAACCAAAGAGGUGAGAUCUUGAUCGAUAAAUGUAUCAUAUUUAUGUCAUUGUUAUGAAAAAAGGUGCUAUCUUGAUCCUAAAAUGGUUAUUUGGCUGUCCCCAUAAGAGAACCCUUUGAAGAUCUUUUUUUGAUUCCAGCUACAUGUAUAACCCUUUUGGUUCCAGGUAGAACUCUUCUGGGUUCCAUGUAGAACCCUUUUCACAGAGGGUUCUACCUGGAACCCAAAAGGGUUCUCCUACGGGGACAGCCAAAGAACCCUUUCGGAACCCUUUUUCCUAAGAGUAUAUAUACACACACGCACAAGGUUAAAAAGGUUCUGUAAAUAGUUAGUUUGUUUGCCCUCAAAAUAAAUGGUUAAUGCUACGAGGGAGCGAGGUAUAUGCAAUAAAAGGGACUUAAAUUACAAAAAUACAUAAAACUACUAAAAUAUGCAAAUGUAUCUGUAAAUUGUUUGCUUGUCCUCUUAUGCUGGUAUGGAGUGCAGCGCGUAGCCUAACACAGUUUUUUUUUAAAGAAAAUUAAGAAUGGAUAUGAUCUGUAACAAUGGAUAGGACACGUGUCCACCUCCAAGCAUCAGUGUCCUCCAGGAACAGUGGCCUUUCCUUUUCACCAAGUUAUGGCUCUGCGACCACUUCAAUACUUGUGAUUGACAGUCACCUGACUCAAGCUCUCCUGAACAAGGGUAAGAGAAUUGUAAACUUUUUUAAAAGCCAAAAGACCAAGUUGAGGAGAGAGAUCCAGUGCCUGCUAAAUGAAACCGACAGUUACAUCAAAGGCAAUGACGAUCUAACAGCCACUGCUGCCAUUCUUUUGUUGAUGACCCAGAGGACGACGAAUCUCUGUUCCUCAUGGCAGAUGUAAUGAAUAGUGUUUUUAUGUUUAUAUGAUUAAUGGUGUUUAUACUGUACUAUUACACAUGAUUUGUAUAUAUGUACAGUUGAAGUCAGAAGUUUACAUACACCUUAGCCAAAUACAUUUAUACUCAGUUUUUCACAAUUCCUGACAUUUAAUCCUAGUUACAAUUUGCUGUUUUAGGUCGGUUAGGAUCACCACUUUAUUUUAAGAAUGUGUAAUGUCAGAUUAAUAGUAGAGAGAAUGAUUUAUUUCAGCUUUUAUUUCAUUCAUCACAUUCUCAGUGGAAGUUUACAUACACACAAUUAGUAUAUGGUAGCAUUGCCUUUAAAUUGUUUAACUUGGGUCAAACGUUUCAGGUAGCCUUCCACAAGCUUCCCACAAUAAGUUGGGUGAAUUUUGGCCCAUUCCUCCUGACAGAGCUGAUGUAACUGAGUCAGGUUUGUAGGCCUCCUUGCUGGCAUACGCUUUUUCAGUUCUGCCAACACAUUUUCUAUAGGAUUGAGGUCAGGGCUUUGUGAUGACCACUCCAAUACCUUGACUUUGUUGUCCUUAAGCCAUUUUGCAACAACUUUGGAAGUAUGCUUGGGGUCAUUGUCCAUUUGGAAGACCCAUUUGCGACCAAGCUUUAACUUCCUGACUGAUGUCUUGAGAUGUUGCUUCAAUAUAUCCACAUCAUUUUCCCACCUCAUGAUGCCAUCUAUUUUGUGCACCAGUCCCUGCUGCAGCAAAGCACCCCCACAACAUAAUGCUGCCACCCCCGUGCUUCACAGUUGGGAUGGUGUUCUUCGGCUUGCAAGCCUCCCCUUUUUCCUCCAAACAUAAUGAUUGUCAUUAUGGCCAAACAGUUCUAUUUUUGUUUCAUCAGGCCAGAGGACAUUUCUAGAAAAAGUACGAUCUUUGUCCCCAUGUGCAGUUGCAAACCGUAGUCUGGCUUUUUUAUGGGGGUUUUGGAGCAGUGGCUUCUUCCUUGCUGAGCGGCCUUUCAGGUUAUGUCAAUAUAGGGCUCGUUUUACCGUGGAUAUAAAUCCUUUUGUACCCAUUUCCUCCAGCAUCUUCACAAGGUCCUUUGCUGUUGUUCUGGGAUUGAUCUGCACUUUUCGCACCAAAGUACGUUCAUCCCUAGGAGACAGAACACGUCUCCUUCCUGAGCGGUAUGACGGCUGUGUGGUCCCAUGGUGUUUAUACUUGCGUACUAUUGUUUGUACAGAUGAACAUGGUACCUUCAGGCGUUUGGAAAUUGCUCCCAAGGAUGAACCAGACUUGUGGAGGUCUAAAUUCUUUUCUUCUGAGGUCUUGGCUGAUUUCUUUUGAUUUUCCCAUGAUGUCAAGCAAAGACGAACUGGGUUUGAAGGUAAUACGUCCACAGGUACACCUCCAAUUGACUCAAAUAAUGUCAAUUAGCCUAUCAGAAGCUUCUAAAGCCAUGACAUCAUUUUCUGGAAUUUUCCAAGCUGUUUAACUUCUGACCCACUGGAGUUGUAAAUUAUAAAUGAAAUAAUUUGUCUGUAAACAAUUGUUGGAAAAAUUAUUUGUGUCGUGUACUUUUGUGUAUUUCAGGAAAUAUUCUAUUGGGUUCCUCAAAAUGGAUGGUGUCGAUCGAGAGGAGAGUGGUCUGUGUUUUGGACAGUAAGUCCAACUUUGCUGCUGCCCUCUCUGUGCUCUUCAGCACUUUCUAUGUUUUUAACAUAGAAUAACAGGAGUUGGCCUCUGCAACCUUGGAGCUGAUAGAGGUUCCUGGUUUGAAUAAACCCUUAAGGAACCAAAUGCACAGCGAAAGCAGGAGUGAGCCGCAAGACCGGAAAGGUCGUUCAGAGGAAGUCAUUGCCAAUUGACCAAGAUGUUACACGCUUUCUCGCAGACCUGAAGGAGUUUGAUAGGAAAAACUCCAACAUUUGAUGUAUCAGAGCUAAGGAGGAUCAGAGUUUCAAAAAUGGGGGUGAUAACCUGCACGCCACCGAGAUUUAUUCGAGACUUGUUUGCAUCUCUCAUUCUCUCAGAAAUCCUGCCAUGUGGGUUGGGUCAGCAAAUGAUCUGUUUGCUCCAUCCCGGAGCCUGUGUUGUCUUGAGGUAGCAUGCUUCUCUGGCUCCAGUCUAGCCCUGCUCUCUCCUCUCUAUCCACUUUUCUCUCAGCCCCUUUCUCUCUCGAUCUCUCUCUCUCUCUCGUUUCUCUCUCAACGACAGCCAGGCAAGCAGUUCUUGUUAUUGUUUUUUGUAAAAAUGUCUCCCUGUUCAACUGUUGUUUCCCUAUUUUUCAUUGAUCUGUUUAGAGAUUUUUUAAAUCUUACAUAAUCCUGUAUUUUUAAGAAUGACCUAUUCUGAUGUUUUGGUUUGUGUAUGGUGAAGUACAUUACUGACCAUUAUUUGUCAAUGUUCUUAUCAUUGUAUCUCUUUCUCUCUCUCUCCCCU
rnacentral:lncRNA from 1 species